AGGUCCAGGUUAAACUCCUGCACCUCCGUCUCAUUGGCCGCUGAUACAGGCUCCUGUCGGAUUGAUUCUCAGUCUUACCCUUUGUCCAGCCAAUCGUGCGCCUCUGCGAGGGCAGGGUGCUGUUCCACGCCGGGUCUAGCUGCUCUCGCGCGCGCGCCCCAGGUCGCCCAGCGUCUCACAUCCAGGGUUGGGACGCGGCAGCAGCGCUGCUCCCGACGUCUGAAGACCACAAGAAGCGGCUCUCCGUGGAACCGACCAACUCCCUCUGCAGAACGGAGCCCAGGGCUUGGAACGAGACUGCUGAUCUCCAAUUUGAUAUCGGAGCCCAGGGAGAAGCCCGUGGAUCUCGCCGGGAUGACCCCAGCUACCGCUCCUUGCACUGCACGUGGGACGCCUUGGGCGUGGACCCCGCGAUGGAGCCCGAGAUGGGCGGCCACCACCCUGGGGCCGACUACCAGUGGAUGGGCUGCCGGACGCCGGGGACCUCACACACGGGCUGCAAUCAGCUGGCCUGGUUUGCUACUGACCUGUAACCUCCUUCAGGUGGAGGAGCAACACAUAUGGAUUUGAGGAGUGACUCGAGAAGUGAAGAACACACAAGAAUGGAUCACAAGAUGAAAUUUGUCAAACCCUAGCCUUGCAUUAGUUUUUUUUGUUUUUUAAUCUGUAAUGGUACUAACUUUGCUUGCUUUGAAGUAGCCCUUUAAUUUUUUUUUCUUUUUCAAUAACUGUUUUUAAGUCUCUUGUAGCGUUAUGUUAUGGUGAAUACUGGCUGCAGCGAUUUCUAAUUUUUAAGAAUUGAGUAAUGAGGGCCGCGGAUUUAGCUCAGUGGUUCCACCACCUGCCUCGCAAGCGCAAGGCCCCGAGUUUGAUCUCCGG
rnacentral:lncRNA from 1 species